UACACACAGCUUUUGGACGUACAUUUGACAACUUUGAAGAAAUGGAUACAUUCCUUGGAAGACACAAAGUAUGUAAUGAAGCUGACUCAGGAAGAAAAAAUUAGGGUAGCACCAUAUGUAUUAAAGAAGUUUACAUUCCUAGUUAAAAACCUUCUCACACAAACAAACCAAACCAAAGCCAAAAAGAAUUCCAAGCCCAUACAUGUUUUAACUGAUGAAUUCUAUCAAAUAUAUGAAAGAGAAAUAAUUCAGGAAGUAGAGGAAGAAGGAACACUUCCCACCUCAUUUUAGGAGGCUGCCAUUAUGCUAAUAUCAAAACAAGGUAAAGACAUUAGAAGACAAAACAAUGAACAAAAUAUCGUUCAUGAACAUAGAUGAAACAUUUGUUAACAAACCAUUGGUAGGUCCAGUCCAGCAGGAUGUAACACAUGGGUUUGUUCUAAGGGAUGCAAGUUUGGUUUAAAACCACAAAAUUCGCUUGCAUAAGGUAUCACUUUAUCAGGCAAAAAGGGAAAACUAUAUGAUUCUGUCAGCAGUUAUGGGAAAGAGCAAUUGUGAUGAAAUCUCCCAAAAUAUUUGGAAGAGAAGAGGAUUUUCUUAACCUGAUGAGAGACAUUGACACCUAACUCUAGCUGAAAUCCAUUCAGUGUCAAAAGAUGGAGGGUUUUCCUCCUAAGAUAGGACACAAGGCAAAUAUGCCCAUCUCCUGCCUCUAAUACGGUGAUGGAGGCCCUGGCCAGUGUAACAGGCAAUAAAAGAAACAAAUGGCAUACAGUAUGGCAAGGUAGAAACAAAAUAUCUUUAUUUGCAGCCAACAUGAUCAUGUGUAGAGAAAAUGCUAAGAAAUCUCCCAAAAGCCACUAGAAUUUGUCAGCAAGAUUGCAGGACACAAAGUCGAUAUACAUAUUCAGUUGUAUGUAUAUAUACCGGCAAUGAAACUUUAGAAAUUGAAAUUUAAAGUUUAUAUCAAAAUGCAGAAGACCUAAAAAGUUAAAAUAUUUACAAGAACAAUAUUAGAAGGUUUUUAGUACCCAAUUUCAAGACUUCCUCUGCAUUUUAAGCUGCUUCUUUAAAGCUACAGGAUCAAGGCAGUGUUGUCAUCCUAAGAUAGAUAGAUAUAUAUAUAUUCCAUUGAUAUAUAUAUAUAUCAAUGGAAUAGAUAUAUUAUCAAUGGAAUAGAAUAGAGAAUCCAGAAAUAGACCCACCCAUAUAUGGUCAGUUGAUUUCUGACAGUGGUGCCAAGUUAAUUCAAUGGGGAGAGGAUAGUCUUUUUAACAAAUAGCACUGGAACACCUGGAUAUUCAAAUGUAAAAAAAUUAACCUCAAUCCUUACUUCUGUGUGCAGAAAUAUCUUGAAAAGAAUCAUCAACCUAAAUAUAAAAGACUAAAACUAUGAAAUUUUAAGAAAAAAUUACAGGAGAAAAUAUUCAUGAACUUGGGUCUUAUAGCUCAUUAAUAAAGACGACCCAGUUAAGAAUCGAGGCACAAGAAAAUAAUGACUGGCUAGUGUAGCAAGGAGUUCAACAUCAUUAGACAUCAGAAAGAUGCAAAAAAUUCAAGUUCUUGCUGUGGCGCAGCGAGUUAAGGAUCCGGUGUUUUCUCUAUAGUGGCACAGGUUCAGUCCCUGGCCUGGCACAGUGGAUUAAAGAUCCUGUGUUGCUGCAUCCAUGGCUUAGGUCACAGCUGCUCACUUUUGAUUCCUGGCCUGGGAACUUCCGAAUGCUUCAGUGGCAUACUAUUUGGCAAUUAAAGAAGACAAAGUACUCAUACGUACAACAUGAACGAAUCUCAAAAACACACUGAGUUCAAUAAGCCAGACAUAAAAGAAUACCAACUCCAUGAUUCCAGUUACUGACCCUGAUUAUUAUACCAGAAAUGCCGGAAAAGACAAGUUUAAUCUGUAGUGACAAUAAGCAGGCAUGUUGUUUGCAAACCUUGGUGGGGCACAAGGGAACUUUUUGGUUUGAUUGAUGAAUUCUAGGUCCUGUCCAUGCUGGUUAUUAUAUGGAUAUAUAUAUGUUCAUAAAGUACAUUGAAAUGUACACUUAAAGAAUACACAUUGUAUAUAAACUAUACCUUAGGAAUGUUUUUUUUAAUUCCACAAAAUUUGAAAGUUAUUUUACUAACAGAAGAUUAACUUCUGUCUAGUAUUAGAAGACCUCUGUGUAAGGCUGAAACCUGAAACCUGAGUUGACCUGAGAAUUCCAUUUAGAUUAAUCAGUAUAUACAGUAUAAACAAUAAUACACGAAGUACGUCUUUAUUUUGUUUUAAUAAUAACCUUGUUUAUUAAAUUACUGCCUCUAAUAUUACAGGCCUUUAAAUAAGAGAGAUGAAUUCUCCAUGUGCUUAGCCUAUGAUGUGAUGUAUUGUAAUGGGAUCCUCACAUCCUUAGAAUUCAUUAAUGUACCUCUCUAAUUUUUUUUUUUUUUUGUCUUUUCUAGGGCCACACCCGUGGCAUAUGGAGGUUCCCAGGCUAGGGGUCUAAUCAGAGCUGUAGCUGCUGGCCUACGCCAGAGACACAGCCAGAUCCAAGCUGCGUAUGCAGCCUACACCACAGCUCAUGGCAAUGCCGAUCCUCAACCCGCUGAGUGAGGUCAGGGAUUGAACCCGCCACCUCAUAGUUCCUAGUUGGAUUUGUUAACCAUUGAGCCAUGACAGGCACUCCCUUUCUAGUUUUUAAACUGGUAUUUGGUAGUGACUUCAACAAGAUGCUAAGAAGAAACCAGCUAAAAUGAAGUAAUUGCAUAUAAUCUGCUCUUGGUCUUCUUUUAUUGUUCGAUUCAUUUUUUUAACUAGGAAGAACAUGUGGAAGGUACUCCAUUGUCCCUUAGAAUCUAUUCGUCCUUUUAGAAAUAGAACUCCUAGGUUUUAUCUGAGCACAUGCAUGGCCGCCCAGCUAGAAACUACAUUUCUCUGCUUCUUUUGCUGCAUGUAUGGCUUUAUGACCAAUGAGAGGUGACGGGAGAUCUAUAGAAGGUUACCUCAUUAAGGACAAGCCACUUGCCCUAGACUUUCUCUUUUUCCUUUCUGCUGGCUGGGAUGUCACAUCAGGUAUAGCAGCUACCUUGGGUCCAGAGGUGGAAGCCAUGUGGAACCUGAUGGAGCCAGCCUGGUUUCCCAAAUGGUCUUGUGACACAUCCCUGUCCCCACAUUGUAACUUGAAAAAGAAAUAUUUCCGACUUUGGCUACUAUAUAUUUUUUUUAGUCUUUUUGUUAUGGCAGAAAGUAUAUUACCUAAUGAAAAAUGGAAGCUAUUUAAGAUUUUUUGAGUUUUUUUCUGUGUCCUGUUUGGCCAUAGCCAGUGUAGUGUGGUGUGUACCCACAAUUAAAAUAAUUUCUAAAAUAGCAUCUGAUUUCAUGCCAAGAGUUCUCUUGGAUCCACUUUCUUUAGGAGAGUGUUUCUGAAAUUUACAAGUUACUUUUACACUUUAGCUACUAAUUAUUAAUGAAUCAAUACACAGCAUUCCACUUUUCUAAUUUUUAGAUGUCUUUAUGGACUAAUGUAUGAUCAGUUUUGGUAAAGCUCUACAGCUCUUUUUUUUAAUUUUAUUUUUAUUAGAAUAUGGUUGAUUUAUAGUGUCAUGUCAAUUCCUGCUGUGUAACAUAGUGACCAAGUCGCACGUAUACAUACAUUCUUCAAAAUAAUGCCAUUUGCAGCAACAUGGAUGCAACUGGAGAUUCUCAUACUAAGUGCAGUAAGUCGGAAAGAGAAAGACAAAUACCAUAUGAUACCACUUAUGUGUGGAAUCUAAAAUAUGGCACAAGUGAUCCUGCUUACAAAACAGAAACAAAUUCCCAGACAUGUAAAAUCAUAGAACUUUUUAAAGAAGUUUCUUUAAGGAGUUCCUGUUGUGGCUUAGUGGGUUAACAACCUAAUAGUAUCCAUGAGAAUAUGGGUUCCAUUCCUGGCUUCGCUCAGUGGAUUAAGGAUAAGAUGUUGCUGUGAGCUGCAGUGUAGUUAGCAGAUGUGUCUCGGACCCCAUGUUGCUCUGGUUGUGGUGUAGGCCGGCAGCUGCAGCUCUGAUUUGACCCCUAGCCUGGGAAUUUCCAUAUGCUGCAGGCAAAAAAAAAUUUGCCUUCUUUGUAAGGUACCAAAAUAUUUAUUAUAUUUUCAACUUCUCUGUAAUUAUUUUUGUCUAUCGGAAGCUUAAAGAUAUGAAUCAUUUAUUUCUUCCAUUAAUUUUUCUUUAUAUUGUUUUUGUUUUGGUAUGUGUGUUCAUGUAUUAUUUAUUGUCAAUAUCUCAAUUGAGGAUUAUACCUUUUAUCAAAAUAAUACGACUUUUUUCUUUAUGCCUUGUGCUUUGUGUUUUAGCUGACAUUAAUAUUGCUGCCUUAGUUUAUAUUUCCUUAUAUGUCUGUGUACUUAUAUUUGUAUCUAAAUAUGAUAUAUAUUUAUAUAUGGUAUAUAAAUCAUAAAAGGUAUGGAAGACUUUCUUUUUUGUUGUUUUUUUUGUUUGUUUGUUUGUUUUUAAGAGCCACACCUGUGGCAUAUGGCAGUUUCCAGGCUAGGGGUCAAAUCAGAGCUGCCUCUGCACUACACCACAGCCACUGCAAUGUGGGAUCUGAGCCACUUCUGCGACCUACACCACAGUUCACGGCAAUGCCGAUCCUUAACCCACUGAUUGAGGCCGGGGUGGAACCCGUGUCCUCAUGGAUACUAGUUGGAUUCAUUACUGCUGAGCCACAACGGGAACUCCUCUUUCUCAUAUUUUUUAAAAUGGGUAAUUAUGUAGCUGGACUCCCAAGACAUAGGGAGUGAGGUGAAACUGAGAACAGUCUGUCCAGGGUUGUGGGUCAGGGUGAAGUUCUUGGCAACAGACUCAUUAAAAUGAGUGUGGAGUGUGGAAAGCAGAUGGGUGGAGGAGGCAGGAAGACCGUUAUUCUUGCUUUGGUUCUGUUUUUCUUUGUGACCACGACAAACCUCUCAACUUUCCAGGGCCUCCGGCUCGAUCUUAAAUGAGGAGGAGGCCUCUCCAAGAUCCUUUCCAACUUUAAAAUUCUGUGCCUCACCAGGGACAGCAGGGAAGUUUCCAUUUGACAGCAUUUUUAUUUUUAAUUUCAUUUAAGCAAAGAAGUCAGCUUCAUUUCAUCUUGCAAGUCAGGAGGAAUAAAUCACUCCUCUUACUACCUUGAGUAAGGAGAAUUCGAAGAAGGGCUCACAUGUGACCCGCGUGUUUAUGCCCCGACCUAAUAUUAGUAAGUGACACAUGUCGUGGUGGAGUGUCCCAGUUUUAACACCUGGAAGUAAUCUGGUCAUAGAAUGACUCAGAGGAACGUUAAAUCACUGCUUUUCCCCGAGAACACUAAGAAGGAUAUUGCUCUAGACUCGCAGAAACUUCUUACCUAUUGCCCUGAACUGCAUGUAGGUCUUGAGACGGAGGGUCCUGGGAGGGAGGCCCGCUGUGCAGCCUUCAGCCAGGCAUCCGACUCUUUCAUUGAUGAGCUCCUGAGUGGGAGAAAGGCUGCCAGCCCUGAAUUCAUGUUUCACAAGCUCAGCAACAGGCGGCCACCCAAACUGGCUUUUUGUCAUGAGCUGAGCUGGGCACGGUCACAGGCAGGGAGGGCAGAGAGGGUUUUUCAGAUAAUGAACAUUGUCGCACUUAUGAAAGAGCCAGGAAAGAGUGCUGACUGAAUGAAAUCUGUGCAGCAGGCCGAGAACACCACUUUUUUUGAAGAAGGGCUUUGUUCUGGCUCCAUUGUGGAGGAUGAUUCUGGACAAUGACUCCAUCCAGAGCAGCCUGAAAAAAAAAAAAGAUUGUUGCUUCUCUUCUUGGUAGCCAUCACCUUGAGAACUAAAAAGUCACUGGAAGGUUUUAUUUCCCACUCUACGGAGAGCUUCCGGGGGCAGAAAGGAGAGAGAGACAAUUGUUUCAUUUCAGAAAUGCAUUUUGUUUCAGGAAAGAAAGCCAUGCCACGUGUAAG
rnacentral:lncRNA from 1 species